GGAAUCAUUAAGUUUCCAUGGUGAGAAAUAUUUUUUUUCCAUUUUCUUUGAUUUCUAAUAUGAGAAAUUCAUGGUCUGACCAUGUAUUAAUCUAUAUUUUAAUAGACUGUACUAAUUUAAUUAGGUCUGAAUCACCCCAACACAUAUCUAUUCUUGCUGAAGUUUUUUUUAUUGAUAAGAGUUAGUAUUAUUAGUUUCGGGGUCAUUUCACUCACCCCACUCAGGCCUGUAAAUUUUAGAGGGGAUACAUUUUUUUCGUUAUACCUUUUAAUGUCUUUUUCCAAUUUGUAAAUACAUUUUUAGUUUUUGGUUUUUAAUUUCUUACCAAGUUUCUGUUCCCUAUUUUAAUGUAAUUUAAAGGAGCACUAUAGGGUCAGGAACACAAACAUGUCUUCCUAACCCUAUAGUGUUAAAACCAUCAUCUAGCCAUCUUGGCCCUCUCGUGCCUCCAUAAAUUUAGUAAAAUAUUACUUGUAUUCAAGUCUGCCUGGCACUGCCCCUGUUAGCCUGUGAAUUGCCUCUGUCUGCUGACAUCAUCAGAAGUGGUGGUCUGAGCCAAUAACAAUGCUUUCCCAUAGGAUUGGUUGAGUCUGUCAAGGAGCCAGCACAAUUCAAACACAGCCCUGACCAACCAGCAUCUCCUCAUAGAGAUUGUCACUAUUGUCCUAAUACACAGACAGGACACAACAGACAGAAUUGCAAUACAGGUCCUUACAAUGGCCGGGCAAUGCAAAAGAAUAGUCAAAGCAAGUCAAUGUCAAAAGGAAAUAGAGAGACGGAAUACGAAGAGACAAAUCAAAGUGCAGUAACCAAAUAAUCAGACAGAGUGUAACGUGCUAUUGGGCUAAACAAAGACCACAACAGGGCACGGAGGUAAGGUGGAGGUUAGCUUAUAUACACACAGGGUGCGUCUGUUUGGCUAAUCUCCAAUUAGUGUUUCUUCCCUCCCUUGUGGUCUCUGAGGUCAUCACUGUUUGCACGGUGGCAGAGACAGCCACACUCCGCGGAGAGGGACCAGAUGGCGCUGCUCGCGGUGACGGGGUAAGCAAGGCUGCAGCGACCGGCGCGGAGGCAGGGGAACGGAAAUAACCCCCCUCCUGUCUCCCGACGACCACCAGGAGGGCAGGAAGCCGAUGGCUUCAAAGGAAAACGAGCGUGAAAGGCCAGAAAAAGACGGGGGGGCGUUCAAAUCAGAGGCGGAUACGGAUGGAAUGCUCCUCUGGGUCGUACCCCCUCCAAUGGACCAGGUACUGCAAGGUGCCCCUGCGAAAGUGAGAGUCGAGGAAGGACUGCACCUCGUACUCUUCACCAAAGACCGCACAGACAGGACUGGGGUGUCUAACAGGCCCUCUCGUACCGGUUGCACAGGAGGGGUUUCAGAAGGGACGUGUGGAACGUAUUGGGGAUAAAUAACUACUUGAGUUUUUAAAAAAAAAAAUCCACCAGUAAAGUAAUAAUUGGGGGGCACACAUUUUAUUUUGGAUUUGGAUUGCGAAAUGGAUAUAAUUAGAGAAAAUG